GGACCAGCUCCGUCAGCUCGGCCUGGGGAGGGAGGAGGAGACUGUGACGGGGCAGCGAGCACCACCUCAGACACAAGGCGUCUUUCAUGUGCUAUUGAACCAGACGUGUCCCGUGUUCCCCACACAUUGACGGUGGAUCUUUGGGAAACACUGCAUGUCCCUUUUAUAGUAACUGGUCCCUGGGUAUCAUUUAAAGGUAAGUGAAGGUCACGGAGAGGGGAGGAGCUUCUAUUCUAAUGGCAGCUCGGGGGGGUCGCAUUGUUUACAGAGAAACCAUAGGAACGCACACAUCUGGAUCCCACCAUUAUAGCAUCUGUUGGGCUGCACACACAUUAUUAUCGCAGUGCAUUUGAAUGGGAGGAAGUCGAUACAGACCCCAGUGGACACCGUGAGACAUCCAGUCAACAUUAUUCAUGUUGGACUUGGAUACCUUCAAUAUUUUUAUGUAAAACUAUAGCCAGCAGUUCUUUGCUUCAAGUACUUUUAACUCUUUACUUAAUAAAUGGAAAUACGUA